GUGUUGUAUGAAAGGAGAGGACGUUUAGCACUCCCCUAGACAAGGAUGGAACACACAUACCUGGUUAAGGCACAAGUCAACACUACGUGUGACAUCUUAACCACAUUUUUUU
rnacentral:ncRNA from 1 species